rnacentral:lncRNA from 10 species
AAGAAAAUGAAAUGUAAAGUGAUGACUUAAAUAUGGAAAAGGAACCAUUUGAUUAAAAAGCCAAACUAUGAAGCUUCAAAGACAAGAUGUUACCUUGUGCAAAACCCUGCCAUGGGGAAAAACUGUGUUUCAAGAGUGGAAAGAGCCCUGUCUCAUUAGGAGUGAGGGUCUUGAAUGGUGCCUGUGGUUGUAGACAGCAGAGCAGAGCUUUAGCAUCCUGGAGAUUUGUAAUUGUACUCCACAAGUAACUAAAGGAUUUAAGGCAGAGGAGGGAAAGAAUCUUGCUUACAUUACAAAAAAUAAAAAAGAAAAAGAAGAAAUAAAAAAAUAGAAAAAAGUAAUAUAUAUUAUUAUUAUUACAUUGGUUUAUAGUAAUUGGUUUAUAUCUAAUUUGUUUCCCUGUGUUUAUAAUACAUAUAUAUCUCUGCCUCUUAAACCAAGAAUAAUUUUUACAGGGACAAGAAUAAACACAAGGAAAUGAAUUAGAAAACUAUUAAAGUGAAACGACAAGAAGGUGGAGACCUUGUUCAAAAUAAUGAAAUACAUAUUUAAGAUAUGUGCAAGUUUGAAGAAAAGAGCCACUGAUAGGGUUUUGGUGUAUUAGAUAAGAUAAAAUCAAUGGGAACACCAGCUGAAGUAAACAAACAAGCAUACACACACAAACUGGGAAGCAGAGAAAAUAACAAAACUCUACUUAAAACAUUAUGAAUUUCAGUUGUCUAUAAAACAAUCCACAUUUGAUAUUAAGUAAGUAGAUGACUAUGCAAAGCUCUAACUCAGAGAAGAUACCAAAAUUGGAAAUAUUCUGAGAUGCUAUCAUGUAACUGGCCUUUAAACUCAUGAAAAUGCUUGAGAACACUCAGGGGAAAAAGUGAGUAAGUAGAGAAAAAAGAAAGUACUCAGCUAAGUGGAUUGAAGACAGUACAGGAAAUAUUGAAGGAGACUGUCUAUUGUUUGAUUGAUUUCUUUCAAAGAAAGAAUACAAAGUAAGUUGAUAACUGAAGGACAACGGUAGGUCAAUGUAAACUUUUAACAAAAAGGGAAUUAUUCAUUAAUGAGAAUGAUAAUACUAAAAUGAGAGGGAGAGCUAAGGGACAGAAUUUACUUAAUAUUGGGAGAUCUCAUCAAUUUAGCAUAAGACAUGUGGUAACUUUGUAGAAGGUUAUUGUUAUGAAUGCUGUGGGAG